GGUUAAGCGACUAAGCGUACACGGUGGAUGCCCUGGCAGUCAGAGGCGAUGAAGGACGUGCUAAUCUGCGAUAAGCGUCGGUGAGGUGAUAUGAACCGUUAUAACCGGCGAUUUCCGAAUGGGGAAACCCAGUGUGUUUCGACACACUAUCAUUAACUGAAUCCAUAGGUUAAUGAGGCGAACCGGGGGAACUGAAACAUCUAAGUACCCCGAGGAAAAGAAAUCAACCGAGAUUCCCCCAGUAGCGGCGAGCGAACGGGGAGGAGCCCAGAGCCUGAAUCAGUGUGUGUGUUAGUGGAAGCGUCUGGAAAGGCGUGCGAUACAGGGUGACAGCCCCGUACACAAAAAUGCACAUAUUGUGAGCUCGAUGAGUAGGGCGGGACACGUGGUAUCCUGUCUGAAUAUGGGGGGACCAUCCUCCAAGGCUAAAUACUCCUGACUGACCGAUAGUGAACCAGUACCGUGAGGGAAAGGCGAAAAGAACCCCGGCGAGGGGAGUGAAAAAGAACCUGAAACCGUGUACGUACAAGCAGUGGGAGCCUCUUAAUGGGGUGACUGCGUACCUUUUGUAUAAUGGGUCAGCGACUUAUAUUCUGUAGCAAGGUUAACCGAAUAGGGGAGCCGAAGGGAAACCGAGUCUUAACUGGGCGUUAAGUUGCAGGGUAUAGACCCGAAACCCGGUGAUCUAGCCAUGGGCAGGUUGAAGGUUGGGUAACACUAACUGGAGGACCGAACCGACUAAUGUUGAAAAAUUAGCGGAUGACUUGUGGCUGGGGGUGAAAGGCCAAUCAAACCGGGAGAUAGCUGGUUCUCCCCGAAAGCUAUUUAGGUAGCGCCUCGUGAAUUCAUCUCCGGGGGUAGAGCACUGUUUCGGCAAGGGGGUCAUCCCGACUUACCAACCCGAUGCAAACUGCGAAUACCGGAGAAUGUUAUCACGGGAGACACACGGCGGGUGCUAACGUCCGUCGUGAAGAGGGAAACAACCCAGACCGCCAGCUAAGGUCCCAAAGUCAUGGUUAAGUGGGAAACGAUGUGGGAAGGCCCAGACAGCCAGGAUGUUGGCUUAGAAGCAGCCAUCAUUUAAAGAAAGCGUAAUAGCUCACUGGUCGAGUCGGCCUGCGCGGAAGAUGUAACGGGGCUAAACCAUGCACCGAAGCUGCGGCAGCGACACUAUGUGUUGUUGGGUAGGGGAGCGUUCUGUAAGCCUGUGAAGGUGGCCUGUGAGGGUUGCUGGAGGUAUCAGAAGUGCGAAUGCUGACAUAAGUAACGAUAAAGCGGGUGAAAAGCCCGCUCGCCGGAAGACCAAGGGUUCCUGUCCAACGUUAAUCGGGGCAGGGUGAGUCGACCCCUAAGGCGAGGCCGAAAGGCGUAGUCGAUGGGAAACAGGUUAAUAUUCCUGUACUUGGUGUUACUGCGAAGGGGGGACGGAGAAGGCUAUGUUGGCCGGGCGACGGUUGUCCCGGUUUAAGCGUGUAGGCUGGUUUUCCAGGCAAAUCCGGAAAACCAAGGCUGAGGCGUGAUGACGAGGCACUACGGUGCUGAAGCGACAAAUGCCCUGCUUCCAGGAAAAGCCUCUAAGCAUCAGGUAACAUCAAAUCGUACCCCAAACCGACACAGGUGGUCAGGUAGAGAAUACCAAGGCGCUUGAGAGAACUCGGGUGAAGGAACUAGGCAAAAUGGUGCCGUAACUUCGGGAGAAGGCACGCUGAUAUGUAGGUGAAGCGACUUGCUCGUGGAGCUGAAAUCAGUCGAAGAUACCAGCUGGCUGCAACUGUUUAUUAAAAACACAGCACUGUGCAAACACGAAAGUGGACGUAUACGGUGUGACGCCUGCCCGGUGCCGGAAGGUUAAUUGAUGGGGUUAGCGGCAACGCGAAGCUCUUGAUCGAAGCCCCGGUAAACGGCGGCCGUAACUAUAACGGUCCUAAGGUAGCGAAAUUCCUUGUCGGGUAAGUUCCGACCUGCACGAAUGGCGUAAUGAUGGCCAGGCUGUCUCCACCCGAGACUCAGUGAAAUUGAACUCGCUGUGAAGAUGCAGUGUACCCGCGGCAAGACGGAAAGACCCCGUGAACCUUUACUAUAGCUUGACACUGAACAUUGAGCCUUGAUGUGUAGGAUAGGUGGGAGGCUUUGAAGUGUGGACGCCAGUCUGCAUGGAGCCGACCUUGAAAUACCACCCUUUAAUGUUUGAUGUUCUAACGUUGGCCCGUAAUCCGGGUUGCGGACAGUGUCUGGUGGGUAGUUUGACUGGGGCGGUCUCCUCCUAAAGAGUAACGGAGGAGCACGAAGGUUGGCUAAUCCUGGUCGGACAUCAGGAGGUUAGUGCAAUGGCAUAAGCCAGCUUGACUGCGAGCGUGACGGCGCGAGCAGGUGCGAAAGCAGGUCAUAGUGAUCCGGUGGUUCUGAAUGGAAGGGCCAUCGCUCAACGGAUAAAAGGUACUCCGGGGAUAACAGGCUGAUACCGCCCAAGAGUUCAUAUCGACGGCGGUGUUUGGCACCUCGAUGUCGGCUCAUCACAUCCUGGGGCUGAAGUAGGUCCCAAGGGUAUGGCUGUUCGCCAUUUAAAGUGGUACGCGAGCUGGGUUUAGAACGUCGUGAGACAGUUCGGUCCCUAUCUGCCGUGGGCGCUGGAGAACUGAGGGGGGCUGCUCCUAGUACGAGAGGACCGGAGUGGACGCAUCACUGGUGUUCGGGUUGUCAUGCCAAUGGCACUGCCCGGUAGCUAAAUGCGGAAGAGAUAAGUGCUGAAAGCAUAUAAGCACGAAACUUGCCCCGAGAUGAGUUCUCCCUGACUCCUUGAGAGUCCUGAAGGAACGUUGAAGACGACGACGUUGAUAGGCCGGGUGUGUAAGCGCAGCGAUGCGUUGAGCUAACCGGUACUAAUGAACCGUGAGGCUUAACCUU
rnacentral:rRNA from 1 species